rfam:Acinetobacter calcoaceticus PHEA-2, complete genome.
AUUAACGUGAAGUAACACUUAUUAACGCUAAUAGCGAUGAAGAAUAUCUUAACUUUAUCUAUUAUCCUUUAUGUAGGUUACAUCAUAUGAGCCUCACGACAUUUCUCCUUAAACCGAAACUGUUUUUACAGAUUCGUUGUUCUACGCAAUGAUCACCCCAAUCAUUGCGUAUUUUUUUGCCUAAAAAUUUUA